AACGAACGCUGGCGGCGCGCCUAAUACAUGCAAGUCGAGCGAGAAGGUGUAGCAAUACACUUGUAAAGCGGCGAACGGGUGAGGAAUACAUGGGUAAUCUACCAUCGAGUGGGGAAUAACCAGCCGAAAGGUUGGCUAAUACCGCGUACGCCUCCGGAUCUUCGGGUUCGGAGGGAAAGCCGCACUGUGAGUGCGGCGCUCUUUGAUGAGCUCAUGUCCUAUCAGCUUGUUGGUAGGGUAACGGCCUACCAAGGCUUUGACGGGUAGCUGGUCUGAGAGGACGAUCAGCCACACUGGCACUGCGACACGGGCCAGACUCCUACGGGAGGCAGCAGUAAGGAAUAUUGCGCAAUGGGCGAAAGCCUGACGCAGCGACGCCGCGUGGGGGAUGAAGGUCUUCGGAUUGUAACCCCUUUCGGGAGGGAAGAUGGAACGAGCAAUCGUUCGGACGGUACCUCCAGAAGCAGCCACGGCCAACUUCGUGCCAGCAGCCGCGGU
rnacentral:rRNA from 1 species